rnacentral:rRNA from 1 species
ACGGGAGGCAGCAGUGGGGAAUCUUGCGCAAUGGGCGAAAGCCUGACGCAGCGACGCCGCGUGCGGGAAGAAGGCCUUCGGGUUGUAAACCGCUUUCAGGAGGGACGAAGCCACUCGGGUUAAUAGCCCAGAGGGUGACGGUACCUCCAGAAGAAGCCCCGGCUAACUACGUGCCAGCAGCCGCGGUAAUACGUAGGGGGCUAGCGUUGUCCGGAUUUAUUGGGCGUAAAGAGCGUGUAGGCGGCCAGGCAAGUCCGACGUGAAAUCUGGAGGCUCAACCUCCAGCGGUCGUUGGAAACUGUCUGGCUAGAGUCCGGAAGAGGAGAGUGGAAUUCCUGGUGUAGCGGUGAAAUGCGCAGAUAUCAGGAAGAACACCGAUGGCGAAAGCAGCUCUCUGGGACGGUACUGACGCUGAGACGCGAAAGCGUGGGGAGCGAACAGGAUUAGAUACCCUGGUA